rnacentral:tRNA from 1 species
GGCCUGAUAGUUCAGGUGCCUCACAUUGAUUCCUACACACGUUUUCACAUGCUAAUGAUCAAAACUAGUGGCAGAAUUCUUGCUUUGGGUGUAAGAGGUCCUGGGUUCAAAUCCCAGUUAGGCCC